rnacentral:precursor_RNA from 1 species
CAAGGGUUUGAAACUCCAUACAUGUGUUUGAGAAUCUGCAUGGAGUUUCAAACUCUUGAA